rnacentral:rRNA from 1 species
UACGUAGGUGACAAGCGUUAUCCGGAAUUAUUGGGCGUAAAGCGCCCGCAGGCGGCUGUUCAAGUCUGACGUGAAAUCGCCCGGCUCAACUGGGCGGGGUCAGCGGAUACGGCGUGGCUGGAGCAAGCUAGGGGGCAAUGGAAUUCCCGGUGUAGUGGUGGAAUGCGUAGAUAUCGGGAGGAACACCAGUGGCGAAGGCGGUUGCCUGGAGCUUUGCUGACGCUGAGGCGCGAAAGCGUGGGGAGCGAUCCGG